GAGAAAAAGACGGGAAAAAAAAAACCACAAAACGAUCAACCGAAAAAAAAACACCCUAAAACCAAAACUUUUAGGGGCUGGCACUCGCUUCGGGGCGUUCUCACCCCUCUCCAUCCCAAAGCGCCACGCGCGGCGUUUGGGGCCGUUUCGGCAGCCCUUCGUGCUCGCUGCCCGGCUCCCGGGGGGGCCGCGCUCAGCCCCCAGCCCUGCCGUGCCCGCUGUCCCCGUGUCCCCCCGUGUCCCCCCCGGGGCAGCCCUCCUCGCCCCUCGGUGUCCCCCGGGUCCCCCCCGGGUCCCCCCCGGGUCCCCAUCGCGCCCCCCGACGGCGCUCCCCUGCGCCGGGCGGGACGAGCGGCUUGGCGAAGUCGCAACGGCUUUCAAGUUAAUUAGGGCUUCUCGGUAUUUUAUUAUUAUUAUUAUUUUUAAUUGUUUCUCUGCACCAGCCUCUUAUCUUUCUCUCGCAGGCAGCCGGAGCGGUGAAAGCUGUGUCCCCCCCGCCUCCAGGCUGCAGCCACCGGGUGCCUCUCCAGCUGCUGCUGCGGGUAGCAGAACUUGAAGAAAGAAGAGUAGUUACCUUCACCACUGUAAUUCUUCGACGUGCUCUUUGUACGCAGCUCCCACUGCUGGCCCCUCGUUCCCCCAGGUCGUGUGGACUGAGGGCUGCUGAAGAGCUGGGCGGUGAUCUGUUUGCACGCUGGAGGGAGGAAAAGCAGAGGUGAGCAGGUUAUGCACACACCUUGUGGUGGACACAUAGCAACGUUAGGAACACUCGAAUUCUUGUGCAGAAGAGACCUAUCAAUUUACAGCAGGUUGUACCUGCAUAGAGCACCCUGAAGUGUUAUAGCUAUGAGUUUAGUAAACCUCUUCAUUGUUCUUUCUACAACACCUCACGUGAAAGACGUUGCUAUACCUUUGCCAGGUAUUCCUCAUUAUUAUUAUUAGCAGCAAAGAACAUAUGGUUGCUAGUACUGUUAAUGGGAGUCGUGAGUUUUUGCAUAGGAAUUAGACCUCAUUAGAAACCAGGAUUUGUUUUGUGCGCUGCUAAAUUUUCUUUAUUAAACCCACUGGUCUAUAGCAAGAUUACAUGCCAACCCACAGAAGUCCUUCAGAGUUGUUAUUUUAAAUUUAUGUCAAUGAACAGUAUAUUCCAAAGCCUUUCAAAUGUAUACGCAUGUGCAUUAUAUACGUAUAUACUAUAUAUACAUAUAUGUGUAUAAGUAGUGACAAAGCAAGUAGUUUAAUAUGUUUUAUGGGUCCAGCCUGGAGUUCUGCAUACAUGAACUUGUGUGUGGUCAAGGAGGCUUGCAUAUUUUUGAACUCUAAGUUGGCCUAAUAAAAGAUAUCAGACUACAGUGCUUGCUUUGUCA
rnacentral:lncRNA from 1 species